rnacentral:lncRNA from 1 species
GUGGUGAGAGUAAUAAUGUGAAAUUAAGUCUUUAAACUUGAUUAGGAGGGAAUUUUAUUUUUCUGUCCUAUUUCUGACCAUAUCUUUGUUUAAUUUCAGUGCCCACUCAAAUAUGUAGGCACAGAAAGUAACUUGGGCUUAUGUAAUAUAGGGGAGGUACCUGACCGAAGUGAUCUCCUGGAGUAGAUGGAGUAAGGCAAGGAAAGAAACCCAGCCAGGGCUGGUUACAGUUCUGGCCUCUAGAGGGAGCCCAUUCCUGAUCAGUUACUAUACAGUCACCUACUUCAGAUUCCCCUAUUAAAUCAGUUUGUGAUUGGUGGUACUUUUAAAUGAAUUUUAUAAUGAACUACUGUGGAAACACUGAGAAGUGUUUUAUGUAUGCUGAUCUUUGCAAAUGUAAUGAUCUCACUCCUUUGGCUAUAUUUUCCAUCUAGUGACCAGAGGCUCUGACCCUUCUUAGAAUCACUGCUUCAGGACAAUUGUAGCCCAUGGAAAGGUACUUUUAAAAAAUUAAGCGGGAAUACAGUAUUAAGAAGGUGAUAUGUAUACUAUUGUAUUGAUACCACAAAAAUUAUAUCUCUAAGGUAGGGUAAAGAGAGAUGUUGGUUGGGUUUUGGCUUUGGUCAAGUUUAUUGAGAUGCAUUUUUAUACAGUAAAAGCCACCCCAUUACUGUGUAUAAUUCGGUGAGUUUUGACACAUGAAUAUGGUUUUGUAACUAAGAUAUAGAAAAUAUUUAUCAUCGCAAAAAGUUCCCUUGGCUCAGGGAAAAUUUUAUUUAUUCAUUAUUUAUUUAUCUAUUUAUUAACUUUUAACUUUAUUUUUUUUUCAGUGCUGGUGAUCAAAUCAGGGAGAAGUUUAAAUGGUUGGUAAGAUGUUGGGGACUUUUAUUUAUUUUCAUUCCUUCACAAGAUUUGUGCAAUACUUAGAAUUUAGGAGGAGAAAAGCAAAAAACCAAAUUCAUUUUCCAAGCUGUGGGCGGAGCUUCUGGAAUAUGAAAGAGCUUGGAAUCACUGCCAAGAAAAGCAGUCAAAAUGUAGGAAUAUGGGCUGGGGCUGUAGCUCAGUGGUAGAGCAUGUGUGAGGCACUGAGUCCAAUCCUCAGCACCACAUAAACAAUAAAAAAAUAGAGGUGUCCAUGUAUAACUAAAAAUUUUUUUUAAUGUAGAAAUAUAACAAAAAGUAAGAAUACAUCUGGUUUCUUUGACAUAUUUUGGACACAAGAUGCUUAUACAAAAUUUUUGACCUAAUCACCAAAGCAUUAUUAAACAGCAAGGGCCGUAGGGCUUCUAGGAGGGUUAUAGCAAGCAAGGAAGUUCAGGGCAAGAGGCUUCUCAGCUGGCCAGUCUUCAAGUAGGAGAGACUUCUAAAUAUGAUCUGGAGGACAGCAGAUUAUAGCAUUCGAAGAAAGCGAGGACUGCAGGGAAAAUAGAUGUUCCUUGGCUUACAAUAAGAUUGCCUCCGAUAGCCCUUUAAGUUGAAAAUAUUGUGAGUCAAAAAUGCAUCGAACAUACCUAAUCUGCUGACCCUUAAUAGUGCAGCCUAGUUGAACUUGAAUGUGCUCCAGAAUACUUACAUUAGCCUACAGUUGGGCAAAAUCAUCUGACACAAAGCCCACUUUUGAAUAUCUCAUGUGAGUUCUUGAAUAUAGUACCCUGUGGAGUAUUGGUUGUUGGCCCUUGUGAUGGAGUGGAGCUGCAGCUUGCUGCCAGGGUCCAGCAUUGAGAGAGAGUAUCAGACUGCAUAUUGCCAGCCUGGGAAAAGAUCAAAAUUUCAAGUACGGUUUCUGCUGAGUGUUUAGCACUUUCCCAUCAUCCUAAACUCAGAAAAUUAUAGGUUGUCUAUAAAUGGAUCUUUUCCAGUCCUUUGGCCAAGAGAUUUAUGGAGUUCUGACUAGCAAAUUUUAUUUUUCAGUUUUUUGUUCCUUCAUUCAACAGAAACUUAGAAUUGUCCCCCACUCCUUGCAUUGUUACACAGAUGUUAUUGUACAACUUCCAUAGCACUUACACUACUACUGAAGAUAGAUGAAUGAUGUGUCAUUCUUUAUAGUGCAGGGAUGAGUGUUGCCAGGUUAUCUGGCACCUAAUACAUACUCAGGUGGUUUUUGGCAAGGACCAUGAGUAACUCUUGUUACUAUAAUUGAAGGUUCUGCUGCUUGCUGCUCAAUAAAAACUUAGGAGACAGAAGUUGGUGGAAGAAAACAGGUUUAUUCAAAGUUGGCCCUAAAGAAAAUAGAGACUUUUUCUGCCUCAACUCUUUAUCUUUGGGGGGGCUCAGGGAUGUAAACUCUUUUAUGAGAAAAAGGGAUACAGUGGGACCAAAGACAGGAAAUACAUGCAUGUGGGCAUGUGUGUACACACACACACACACACACACACUUAAGACUAGGUUGUCCUAGACAGAGAAAUAUAUUACAAUUCCAGUUUCCUUGGUACUUGCCCUGCCUGAUGGGUAGCUUCUCAGUUUCCAUUCUCAGCAUGAGGAAACUAAGGUUAAAACAGCUUUUACUAGGAAUGGAGGGACAAAAAUCAGUCAAAGGGGCUCUGUUACACGCCUAGUAGGGACAACCAUCUAAAAAUGAACUCGUACAUCACUUAAUUUCCAACAAUGGUGUUCCCUUAAGAAGUUUCUAUGUUCUCUGAAAGUGAAAUGUUAUAUUUAAACAUACCAACUCCCCUCCCCCUGUGAAAUUGUGAUACAAUAAGAAAUAUAUCUAUAUACAUAUCUAGUUAUCUGUGUGUGUGGAUAUAUAUAUAUAUAGACUUCAUAUAUAUGAGUCUUGAGUUCCUGGCACAGUACUUCUAAAACCCUUGUAAUUUCCAGAGUGAUAAGUGUCUUGUAUUUGGUCUUAGUCCUGAUACUAGGGCAUCCAAGACCCUUGGAAUCUCCAGAGUAAUAAGUGUCCUUUUUGUAUGCUAAUGGAAUGACUGGUGAUUGAGGGCCCCUAAAUAGCUUAAGGAUAGGGGCUGGUUAUUAGAAAGAUCAAUGUGUGAAAAUCUGAUUGAAAAUUUCAGCCUCAGUCCCAACCUAUAGGAAGGGGAGAAGGGCUGGAGAUUAAGUUGAUCACUAGUAGCUAAUGAUUCAAUCAGUUGUGCCUACAUAAUGAAGCUCCCAUAAAAUCCCUAAACAAGGGAGUUGGGAGAGUUUUCAGGUUGGUAGAUACAUUGAUGUGCUGGGAAGAGAGUGCACCCGGAGAGAGCAUGACAGUUCUGUGCCCUUCUCCCAUGCCUUGCCCUGUGUGUCUCUUACAUUUGACUAUUCCUGAGUUGUAUCUGCUUAAUAAAACUAAUAAUAGCAAGUAAAA